rnacentral:rRNA from 1 species
AUUGAACGCUGGCGGCAUGCCUUACACAUGCAAGUCGAACGGUAACAGGUCUUCGGAUGCUGACGAGUGGCGAACGGGUGAGUAAUACAUCGGAACGUGCCCGAUCGUGGGGGAUAACGAAGCGAAAGCUUUGCUAAUACCGCAUACGAUCUACGGAUGAAAGCAGGGGACCGCAAGGCCUUGCGCGAACGGAGCGGCCGAUGGCAGAUUAGGUAGUUGGUGGGAUAAAAGCUUACCAAGCCGACGAUCUGUAGCUGGUCUGAGAGGACGACCAGCCACACGGGGACUGAGCACCGGCCAAGACCCCUACGGAGGGAAGAGGUGGGAAAUUUUGGACAAUGGGCGAAAGCCUGAUCCAGCCAUGCGGGGGGAAGGAUGAAGGCCUUCGGGUUGUAAACUGCUUUGUACGGAACGAAAAGACUCUGGUUAAUACCUGGGGUCCAUGACGGUACCGUAAGAAUAAGCACCGGCUAACUACGUG